GGGAACUAACUAACUAAAAGGGUUCUUCAAAGGGUUAUCCUAUGGGGACAGCAGAAGGACACUUUUAGGUUAUAGGUAGCACCUUUCUUUCUAAGUGUGUACUGCUGAUAAAAUAACUCUGGCUCAAAAUGUGUCCUCACCAAACAUUGUAUUUCCCUCCCUGGUGUUUACAGUUGAAGGUCAAUUCAGAGUGAUGAAUGGGACCAGCUCCUGUGCUGGAGGAGCACAGGGGUUUUUAUUUGGACACUGGAGGUCUGUAUGUGGCAAUUAUUGGGCCAUGUAAGAUGCUAACAUUGUGUGUAGAAAGAUGGGCUGUGGGAAUGUUGUAGCUGCACUUGGCAUACCUCAUUUUGGAGAGGGAAUGGAAGGAUACCAAAUAGGAUUUAUUGCUUGCUCACCACUGGAUUCUACUCUUGAGAAGUGUGACUUCGCCUUUACUGCAGGCGAUGGUUGUCGUAAUUAUGCUAAUGUAUCCGUUCAGGUAAGAUUGAUAGGGAUUGUGUCGAACUAUAUUACAAUCUUUUAUCCAAUACAUAGCUGGUAGCAUCAACAAAACUGAUUGGAUAUUGAACCAUCUUUUGUUCAGAGUCUGUGAGGUUUGUGGAUGGAGCUGGUUUGUGCUCUGGGAGAGUGGAGGUGAAGUCCAAUCAGUCCUGGGUCUCAGUGUGUGAAGCUGACUUUGACUGGCAUAAUGCAGAGGUAGUCUGUCGGGAGCUUGACUGUGGGGCUCCUUCAAUUCUGCAGGGGGGGGCUCUAUAGAGUUUACAAUUGACUCAUUCAUCCCCCUCCUCUCCCCUGUAACUAUUCCCCAGGUCGUUGCUGCAAAUGAGAACGUGUUCUCAGUCAACUUACCUGGUAAAAUAACGGAUAAAUAGAGAAGCUAAGGGUAAAGGCAAUCAGUCUCUUUUUCUGGACUGUGACACCUCAGUGAGAAAAAGUCAAACCUGCUUACCUGGUAAUGCUGUUGGACUCACCUGCUCAGAUGACUCCCACCAAGGGAACUACAGCUGUGUUUAUGAGAUUUAUGUUUUUUCUCAUAAUUUCUCCUCCGAGAGUGAUCUCAUCUCCCUCACUGUCACAGCCUCUCCUCGGACGGCUUUCAUCAUCAGACUGGUUGUAGUACUUCAGAUGUCACUGACAGCCAACACUGCCAUCUAUCUGUACAUCAAGACCACCAGGAGGCGAGGGGAAGGGGUGAAUUUGGAGAUGGUUUCUCUGAGGACCAGAGCUGAAACCGGACCUGGAGAGAGCAGCCCAGGUGACAGACUAGGGUGAAGUUGACUGAAAAGUCUAAGUGUGGUCCAUGGGACAUCCAACUCUGACCUCACCCCAUUGAAGUUGAAAUGUAAAAUGUUUGAAAUGCAGUUGAAGUCAUUUCAAAUGUAUAAAGGUUAGGGUUAAGGUUAGGAUAAUGGUUAGGGUAGGGUAAGCGUCCCAAGAUUCCCCGAUAGCACGAACUAAAGUUGACCGUAGAGACGCUGAACUUAGGUCCGUUUUUUGUUUUCCAGAUACCAUGGGACUGGUGUAGACCUGAUGGGAUUUUAAUCCAAACCCAAUUAAAUGAAAUGAGUGUUAAGUUUCUAUUGGUUGUGCUAUGGCUGCACUUCCUUGCUCUUUAUUUUAUUAUUAUCAUCAUGUUUUAACGGCGUUAUGUGAUUCUUCUCAUGUUAUUUCAUAAACAAAUGCUCACUACAGUACUAUUAUUGUUUGCCUAGAGAGUGCUAUUGGUGCAAUGUAGAAUAACACAUUUCAUAAAUAAAGGUUUUGUGU